rnacentral:lncRNA from 1 species
GAGUAUUCAUGUCAUUACAAAUACAAAGCUGUAAAGCAAUGGGCUGCAAAUUUGAUGUUUUUCUUAGCCUCUCCAAAGUGGGAAGACUCAUUGGCCGAGUGUCAAUCCAGCAUGAAAAAAAUUGUUCUAAAAUGACUUUCUUUCGGGGUGUAGACAUAUUUUCUUCCAUCGUCUUCUGCCUCUACAUAAUUCUCACAAAAUAAAGAGUCAUACUGAACACAUGCCGUACCUGUUUUACAACCUAGAAAAUACUAAAACACCAUACUGGUUAUGGAAUUUCCACCUUCAGACGCAUCUAACUAACGAUCCGAAUAUGAGUUUAAAAGAUUAUGUCAAAUAAUAUCUCUUUACCUCAGUGACUCUUGAAAAAACAAGGUAAUGAACGAAGAAUUUGGGUACACCGUCCAGAUAUCCAUCCAUUCCGUUUAUUAUGCUAGAAUCGUGAAACCUAAGCGGUAGAAGACCAAAAAAAAAAAAAGAAAUUUAAAGCAUCUACAGUUUG